GGUCAACUGGUGUAGAGGUUUAUCACGUCUGUCUCACACAAUCACAUAUUGUGAAGGGCACAGAAGGUCGCAGGUUCGAACCCUGCGUCGACCA